ACCCACCUCUCUCCCCACUACCAGGGCGCCUUCCCGCAAUGUCAGUACCUGAAGAAGAAGGAAAAAUAAAGAUCAGAGAAAGAGGCUUGUCCGUGAAAUCUUUUCCUUUUCAGACAGCAGCCAGUCCGCCCAGGAAAUUGAUGCUCUGAGGACAGCAAAUAGGAAGCUAAAAAAUGCGAACUCAAGACUGCGAUAGAAAACAAAAGAUUGGGCAUUAAGGAAAGAAGAGUCUGAAAAGUAAGGAUGAGAAUUAUUCUCUCACGUUGAGUUACAAUGAUACACAGCUGCGCUAAACUAAGGUGGCUUUGUGGCUGAGAAGGGCAGAGCGAAUUUCACCCUUGAUUAAUAAAUCUUUCCCAUUU